rnacentral:rRNA from 1 species
GACGAACGCUGGCGGCGUGCUUAACACAUGCAAGUCGAACGGUAAGGCCCUUCGGGGUACACGAGUGGCGAACGGGUGGGUAACACGUGGGUGAUCUGCCCUGCACUUCGGGAUAAGCCUGGGAAACUGGGUCUAAUACCGGAUAGGACCCUGGGAUGCAUGUCCUGGGGUGGAAAGCUUUUGCGGUGUGGGAUGGGCCCGCGGCCUAUCAGCUUGUUGGUGGGGUGAUGGCCUACCAAGGCGACGACGGGUAGCCGGCCUGAGAGGGUGACCGGCCAAACUGGGACUGCGAUACGGCCCAGACUCCUACGGGAGGCAGCAGUGGGGAAUAUUGCACAAUGGGCGCAAGCCUGAUGCAGCGACGCCGCGUGAGGGAUGACGGCCUUCGGGUUGUAAACCUCUUUCAGCACCGACGAAGCGCAAGUGACGGUAGGUGCAGAAGAAGGACCGGCCAACUACGUGCCAGCCGCCGCCGUAA